UGGAUCCAGACUUUGAUCAUGGCUCAGGACGAACGCUGGCGGCACGCUUAACACAUGCAAGUCGAACGGUGAAGAGGAGCUUGCUCCUCGGAACAGUGGCGGACGGGUGAGUAACACGUGAGCAACCUGCCUUUAAGAGUGGAAUAACGUUUGGAAACGGACGCUAAUACCGCAUAAUAUAUUGAUGCCGCAUGGUAUUGAUAUCAAAGAUUUAUCGCUUAAAGAUGGGCUCGCGUCUGAUUAGCUUGUUGGUGAGGUAACGGCCCACCAAGGCGACGAUCAGUAGCCGUACUGAGAGGUAGAACGGCCACAUUGGGACUGAGACACGGCCCAGACUCCUACGGGAGGCAGCAGUGGGGAAUAUUGCACAAUGGAGGGAACUCUGAUGCAGCGAUGCCGCGUGAGGGAAGAAGGUUUUCGGAUUGUAAACCUCUGUCUUAAGGGACGAUAAUGACGGUACCUUAGGAGGAAGCUCCGGCUAACUACGUGCCAGCAGCCGCGGUAAUACGUAGGGAGCGAGCGUUGUCCGGAAUUACUGGGUGUAAAGGGAGUGUAGGCGGGACGGCAAGUUAGGUGUGAAAUGCGGAGGCUCAACCUCCGAGCUGCACUUAAAACUGCUGUUCUUGAGUGAAGUAGAGGCUGGCGGAAUUCCCAGUGUAGCGGUGAAAUGCGUAGAUAUUGGGAGGAACAUCAGUGGCGAAGGCGGCCAGCUGGGCUUUUACUGACGCUGAGGCUCGAAAGCGUGGGGAGCAAACAGGAUUAGAUACCCUGGUAGUCCACGCUGUAAACGAUGAUUACUAGGUGUGGGGGGGGCUGACCCCUUUCCGUGCCGCAGUUAACACAAUAAGUAAUCCACCUGGGGAGUACGGCCGCAAGGUUGCAACUCAAAUGAAUUGACGGA
rnacentral:rRNA from 1 species